rnacentral:tRNA from 1 species
UCUAAUGUGGCAGAAUAGUGCAAUGAAUUUAAGCUUCAUAUAUAAAAUAUAUUUUCUUUAGAA